GGGAUGUGGCGCAGUCUGGCAGCGCACCUGCUUUGGGAGCAGGGGGUCGGGAGUUCAAAUCUCCCUCCCCA
rnacentral:tRNA from 1 species